UACAGAGGUCCCAAGCGUUGUUCGGAUUCAUUGGGCGUAAAGGGUGCGUAGGCGGCGCGGUAAGUCGGGUGUGAAAUCUCGGAGCUUAACUCCGAAACUGCAUUCGAUACUGCCGUGCUUGAGGACUGGAGAGGAGACCGGAAUUUACGGUGUAGCGGUGAAAUGCGUAGAUAUCGUAAGGAAGACCAGUGGCGAAGGCGGGUCUCUGGACAGUUCCUGACGCUGAGGCACGAAGGCCAGGGGAGCAAACGGG
rnacentral:rRNA from 1 species